rnacentral:sRNA from 1 species
AAGGGCGCAGGGCGGAUGCCUUGGCUCACGGAGGCGACGAAGGACGUGACAAGCUGCGACAAGCCGCGGGUAGGUGCAAGUGACCGUUGAUCCGCGGAUUUCCGAAUGGGACAACCCGCCCGUCUGAAGGACGGGCACUUCCGCCCGGUGCGGAA